AGUUCGAUUCUGUAGCUCAGAUUGAACGCUGGCGGGAUGCUUUACAUGCAAAGUCGACAGCAGCACGGACUUCGGUCUGGUGGCGAGUGGCGAACGGGUGAGUAAUGUAUCCGGAACGUGCCUAGUAGCGGGGGAUAACUACGCGAAAGCGUAGCUGUCUACCUGCGCCCUUCGGGGAAAGCAGAGGACCUUCGGGCCUCGCACUAUUAAACGGCCGAUAUCGGAUUAGCUGGUUGGUGGGAACAACGGCUCACUGAGCGACGAUCGUAGCUGGUUUGAGAGGACAUUGGCCACACUGGGACUGAGACGACCCAGACUCUGGAAGCAGCAGUGAAAUUUUGGACGAUGGAAACCUGGUCCGGCCAUCGUGUGCGAUGAAGGCCUUCGGGUUGUAAAGCACUUUUGGCAGGAAAGAAACGGCACCGGGAUAAUACCCCGUGCAACUGACGAUACCGCAGAGUUAACAGCUAACUACGUGCCAGCAGCCGCGGUAAUACGUAGAUUACAGCGUUAAUCGAAUUACUGGGCGUAAAGCGUGCGCAGGCGGUUCGGAAAGAAGAUGUGAAAUCCCAGAGCUUAACUUUGGAACUCAUUUUUAACUACCGAGCUAGAGUGUGUCAGAGGGAGGUGGAAUUCCCGCGUGUAGCAGUGAAAUGCGUAGAUAUGCGGAGGAACACCGAUGGCGAAGGCAGCCUCCUGGGAUAACACUGACGCUCAUGCACGAAAGCGUAGAACCGAGCGGGAUUAGAUACCCUGGUGAGUCCACGCCCUAAACGAUGUCAACUAGCUGUUGGGGCCUUCGGGCCUUGGUAGCGCAGCUAACGCGUGAAGUUGACCGCCUGGGAAUACGGUCGCAAGAUUAAAACUCGAGAAUUGACGGGGACCCGCACAAGCGGUGGAUGAUGUGGAUUAAUUCGAUUAGCACGAAAACUGCUACUACAUGACAUAUGCGGAAUCCCGAAGAGAUUUAGGAGUGUAAGAGAACCGGAACACAGGUGCUGCAUGGCUGUCGUCAGCUCGUGUCGUGAGAUGUUGGUUGGUCCCGCAACGAGCGCAACCCUUGUCAUUAGUUGCUACGAAAGGGCACUCUAAUGAGACUGCCGGUGACAAACCGGAGGAAGGUGGGGAUGACGUCAAGUCCUCAUGGCCCUUAUGGGUAGGGCUUCACACGUCAUACAAUGGUCGGGACGUGAAGGGUCGCCAACCCGCGAGAGGCCAAUCCCAAGCCCGAUCGUAGUCCGGAUCACAGUCUGCAACUCGACUGCGUGAAGUCGGAAUCGCACAAGUAAUCGCGGAUCAGCAUGUCAUGGUGAAUACGUUCCCGGGUCUUGUACACACCGCGCCAUCACAUGGGAAUUAGGUUUUACCGAAGUAGUUAGCCUAACCGUAAGGAGGGCGAUUACCACAGUAGGAUUCAUGACUGGGGUGAAGUCGUAACAAGGUA
rnacentral:rRNA from 1 species